AAUAGUUUCUUUGGUGGUGACCUACUACAUGGAUAACCGUAGUAAUUCUAGAGCUAAUAUAUGUGUAAAUCUCGACUCACGAAGAGACGUAUUUAUUAGAUAAAGACCGACCUCGUUCUGCGGUGAAUCAUAAUAACUUCACGGACCGCAUGGCUUUAUGCCAGCGGUGUUCCAUUCAAAUUUCUGCCCUAUCAACUUUCGACGGUAGGAUAGAGGCCUACCGUGGUGUUCACGGGUGACGGAGAAUUAGGGUUCGAUUCCGGAGAGGGAGCCUGAGAAACGGCUACCACA
rnacentral:rRNA from 1 species